ACAAAGGCUCUUUUAAGAGCCACUCACCUCUAAUCUUUACAGCAAU
rfam:Poecilia formosa, whole genome shotgun sequence.